ensembl:miRNA microRNA 103a-1
UGUCUUCGGCUUCUUUACAGUGCUGCCUUGUUGCAUAUGGAUCAAGCAGCAUUGUACAGGGCUAUGAAG